GCUCUACACAGACAGCAUUGGAGGACAGUGAGAGGAUCUUCACUGAGCUGAUCCACUCCAUUGUGAGAAGGCGCUCUAAGGUGAAACAGCUGAUCAGAGCUCAGGAGAAGGCUGAGGUGAGUCGGGCUGAAGACCUCCUGAAGCGACUGGAGCAGGAGAUUGCUGAGUUGAAGAGGAGAGAUGCUGAGCUGGAGCAGCUUUCACACACAGAGGAUCACAUCCAUUUCCUCACAACCAUUUCCUCAUGAAUUUGAAAUAAAGCAUCAGGUUUGAGAGGAAAAAUGCAUAAUUUCUAGAUCUUUUAAUAUAAUGUCUUAAUGUGUCUAACAUAUUUACAUACCUGAACACGAGUGCAUGCACACUAAACCAACUGAAUUCACCCAUCAUGUCUGCAGCCUUUGGGAAAAUGUUUGCCUCACCUUUUCUGUAUUUCUCUCUGUAGAAUUUCCCGUCAAUCAGAGACUCUCCUCACUCCUCGCCCAGCAUGACCUUCAACCAAAGCUUAUCUUUUUUGUCUCUGGAGUGAAGGUGCAGCUGGAGGAGAAACUGGAGGAAAUCUUCAGGCAGGAAGUAGUCAGGAUAUUUGCAGCAGUGAUGAAUAUCCAGACCAUCCAGUCUUUAGAAUAUCCUGGGUGAAUGAUGUCUCUCUGUGUUGGGAUCCCAGUCAGAAGAACAGACAGUAAGGAGAAGCUGCCACCAAGUAAGUCAUCACUGACUGAUUCUAACAGCCUCUACGCCUUUACAUCAGGGGUCUAGAACAAAAAUAAUAGUUUCACUGUAUGUUAUCAUUGACAUCAAUAAAACCCUCUUAACCCCAAAGUGUGUUUGGUUCGAAAUAAAGGCCUUGAUAUUAAUCAUGUGUAAACAUGCCCUAAGCCUUAUUUAUCCAGGGUUUAGGAGACAAUACAGCAUAAUUACUAGAUUUUAAAAUUUACAUUGUGAUCAGGGAAAACACAGACAAAAACGGAAGCCAAUGGAGGUCAGAGAUGGAGUUAAAUUUCAGGUUCAGAAACAAACAUUUCUGCAAACAAACAUUUGUUCACAUAAAAAAACAGCAUUAAUGGUCUGGACAGUUUCCUGCCCCUGUUCACACAUGAGCUCACCUGGGCGUUGUCCUGGCACUGUACUAGGGGGCUGGCAGGGUCAAGUCCACACCAUUGACACUGAAUUCUACCUCACAAACUAGCGAUUGACUUUUCUAUUAAAGAAUAAAUGCAAUGGAAACUAAAGUUGCCUCGUUUUCCAACAGCAGGGCUGUGAUCGUACUUAGGCUACUGCUCUCUCAUUAUUCUCUAUAACCUUCUCUCAAGUUUUCUACCGUAACUCUGGGAAUUUGACAUUAAAACAGCAGCAGAUUUGGGACAUUGGUCUUGGACUCCCAAGUGUUCAGACUAAAGCAGCUGGAGACUCGUAAUGUCUCUUGUGUUUGGGUCAAUGUUAACUACAAGAAAAUGUAUUUUUCAACCUGAAACUCAAUGGCUUUUUGAUCAUUUGUUUUAAAAAGAAUAUGCUAAACUAAUUUUGAUUGAGUUCAUACUGUAUAACC